GACGAACGCUGGCGGCGUGCUUAACACAUGCAAGUCGAACGGUAAGGCCCUUCGGGGUACACGAGUGGCGAACGGGUGAGUAACACGUGGGUGAUCUGCCCUGCACUUCGGGAUAAGCCUGGGAAACUGGGUCUAAUACCGGAUAGGACCACUGCCUGCAUGGGUGGUGGUGGAAAGCUUUUGCGGUGUGGGAUGGGCCCGCGGCCUAUCAGCUUGUUGGUGGGGUGAUGGCCUACCAAGGCGACGACGGGUAGCCGGCCUGAGAGGGUGACCGUCCACACGGGGACUGAGAUACGGCCCAGACUCCUACGGGAGGCAGCAGUGGGGAAUAUUGCACAAUGGGCGCAAGCCUGAUGCAGCAACGCCGCGUGAGGGAUGACGGCCUUCGGGUUGUAAACCUCUUUCAGCUAUGACGAAGCGCAAGUGACGGUAGUAGCAGAAGAAGGACCGGCCAACUACGUGCCAGCAGCCGCGGUAA
rnacentral:rRNA from 1 species